rnacentral:misc_RNA from 1 species
GAGAAGAACGCAGCGAAAUGCGAUAAGUAGUGUGAAUUGCAGAAUUCAGUGAAUCAUCGAAUCUUUGAACGCACAUUGCGCCCUUUGGUAUUCCUUAGGGCAUGCCUGUUCGAGCGUCAUUUAAACCUUCAAGCUAAGCUUGGUGUUGGGUGACUGUCCGCUUCACGGCGGACUCGCCUCAAAAUUAUUGGCGGCCGGUACAUUGGCUUCGAGCGCAGCAGAAACGCGAACUCGGGCCCGUCGUUUUGGCUCCCAGAAGCUAUCUUCACAAUUUUGACCUCGGAUCAGGUAGGGAUACCCGCUGAACUUAAGCAUAUCAAUAAGCGGAGGA